AGUCUCGUUCACAUAAGUGUAGCCGCAUUCUGUAGGGGGCUUGCAACAACCAGACUACAGCACAAGCAAAAGCAAAUCUGUUAUGAAUUUAAACAAUAAA